UUUGAACUCCUGACCUUGAGCAAUCCGCCUGCCUCGGCCUCCCAAGAGCUAGGAUUACAGGCAGAAACUGAGAUUUUAACCCAAGUCUUCAGAACUCCAAAGUCAAUGCUCCAAUGGAGGGACAGUAACAAGUAGGAAGAAAAUGUAAGCAAAAGGCUUCAGCACAUAUUAAAGGCUUACAAUAAAUUUUAUAAAAUAAAAUUUCUGUAGUGUAUUUUACUUACCCUUUUGCACUCCAAACAUUAUUCCUAAAAAAAAAAUCUGCUUUGUUAAAAUCUGUAUGUAUGUGGUAAAGAGUAGAGGAAUGCAGUUCUUAGCAAAUGCAUUUGCUAUGCUCACCUAGUUUCUGUUUAAUAAACUCAUCUCUUCUUGCCAGUCCUCCCUCAAGUCAUAGUGGACCUUGCAUCGUUUUUAUUCAGACAUCAUAUACUUGACAUUUCUAGGCCCUUGUACGUGCUGAUCUCAAUACAGCAUAUCAUUCCCCUCUCCUAUUUUCUCCUUCCAGCUUUCAAUUGACCUAUUUCUGCUCACCUUUCAGUCUUCUCAUACCAACCUCACAAACUGAUUGUCUCCCCUUUUAUCCUGGGUUAUAUCUUAUUUCCCUUUGAAAAGGCCAUGGCUUAGUAGUGGAGGCAAAUUAGCCCUAAAAUCUAAUUCUUUAUACUCAACAAAGAUUAAAAGUAGCCUUGAAAAGAACAAAUUAUGGUAAAUUCUGUAAGUGACUUAACUGCAUACAAAACAAAGUCCAAUCCUCUUUAAAGGAAUGUAAUAAGCCCACUAUUUAAGAGGGUAAAACUUACAACAUCUAGCAUCUGAUAAAAAAUUAUCAGACAUGCAAAAAGAGGAAAAUAUAACAUCCAGGAGAAAAAACAAUCAAUAGAAACAGAUUCAGAAAGUAUGGAAAGGAAUCUGCGAACUAAGAGCUUAAAAGAAAUGUAAAAAAAAAACAUGAACAGGUGAGAAAUGGAAGACUCAAGAAUUCAACCAACCCCUAGCAGAAUAAACACAGAAAAACCAUACCAUAGCAUAUCAUAGUCAAAUUACAUAUUAAAAAACAGUGAUAAAGAGAGAAACUCUUAAAAGCAACUAGAGGAAAAGAAUACAAGGUCAGCAAACUAUAUACAGUGCACAGGCCAAAUCUAUCCUGCCUCCUUUUUUUCCAUAACAUUUUAUUGGAACACGAUUACAAAUUGUCUAUAGCUGUUUUCACACUACAAUGGCAGAGGUGAGUAGUGUGACAGGGAUUAAAUGGCCUGCAAAGCCUCAAAUAUUUACUAGAGAAUGUUACAGAAAAAUGUUGUGACCCUUGAUACAGAGAAAAGAAAGAAAAUAUGUAAGCUAGAAAACUGCAAUGAUAUCUAUAAAGUGUUGAAGGGGGAAAAGACUGUCAACCUAGUGAAUAUUCAAUAUAUCCAGUGAAAAUUUCAUUCAAAAUGAAGAUGAAAUAGGUAUUUUUAGACAAAAAUUUUUUCUCUUGACUAUCUGCACUACAAGAUAAUGUUAAAAUUCUUCAGGCUGAAGUAAAAGGAUCCAGAUGGAAACUUGGACCUACACAAAGGAAAAAAGAGUGCUGGAAAUGAAUUUGGUACCAUUGACUCAAUUUACAGCAUAUCCAGCAGUGAAAAGGAAUGAACUUCAGAUAACACAUCACAACAUGGAUGAACUCCACAACCGUAAUAUUGAGGGAAACAAACCAAACACAAAGGAAUGCACAAGGCAACCCAGCUAUCAAUAGUCAUCACGGCGCAGUAGGCCGGGCCAUCCUAGUGCAUAUGGUGCCUCUAUGACAAUUAGAAAAAGGCACCCACCCCAUUUGGACAGACCAAAUAGAAACAAACAUCUCUUGCUCUGAGCUGAUGAAGUCUGUACCGGUAGGCUUGACGGAUCUCCAGAUUGCAUUUCUCAAGGGCCGAAUUUCUCAAACGCCCUCAUCUGUGUGUCCUUUUCUAGGGCAAAAUGUAUAUAACGUACUCCAUCAUUCUGAAGGGGCAGUUCCCAAAGUUGAGAAGCUCAGGAGAGACCCCAAUAGAGUUUACUUGAGGUUUAUGGAAGGCAAAUAUAGUGAUUGUGAGCUUUGUGCUCUAUAGAGGAAAACACAGUUUGUAAGUGCAUAAAUGAUUCAGUGAUUCUCUCAGGGAAACCAGCUGCUUGUGUAAGUGUCUUACAUAAGUUUGUUUAUAAUUAAGAGAAUAUUUAUUAACAUCUAAUAUGUGCCGGGUACUAUGCUGGAUACCAAGGUUGUGAAGUUGAACACGGCGGGCCCAGUCUUUCCCACCUACCCAUCCACCCCCAGUGUGAAGUGCAGAGUCUGGCAGGGAAGGAAAAUAAUCAGAGCAGCAAUAACAGUGAUGGGAGGAACACAAGGCGCUACGCUUAUGCCUGGCAAGAGAAAACGUCUGAAGGGGUCCUAGAAGCCUAAUAAGUUAAUUAUAUAUUUCAGUGGGUUUCAAGAGACAUCUUGUCAUGGUGACUUGAUAUCUUUUGCAAUAUUUAUGUUCUGUUUUCAAUUUAUUAGUCACAGCUGCUUCCUACCACGUUGCAAAAAAUUAUCUAAAAUGAGAUAAAUUCAUUCUGGCUGUCAUGUGGCAAAAAGUGCAUAAUGACUGCUCAUCAUUUCACCACCAGCCUCCUCUGCCAGCACAGAAAAUGAAGCAUAAGUAUUAUACCGGGGCCUAUCUCCCAGGCAUCCCUCAUCAGAAAUCCUGAGCCUGUAAUUUCGUCCUUAGAGCCUUGGUGCUAGGAAGAAAGUGACUCAGGGGAGAGGGAAAAGGAAGGACAGUAAAGAGAAUAUUAGGGAGUGCCAACUGAACACCCAUGCAGACAGCUUAUCACUGUCCGCCCCACUCGAGAGCAUUCUCUAGGAAGCAGCCCACCAGAUGCUGCACCGCUGCGCCUGCCUACCCUGCUUACUGAAUCAGGAAAGGUGGGCCUCAAGGACAAGCCAUCCAGAGCCUGACCAACAAGCCGGGACUUCAUUCUUUGCUCUAGAAAUUGAAUUGGGACAGUCAGGAAUCUCAGCAAGUAAAAUAAAAAGACACAGAGAAUUAUCUAUUGGUGGCAAGUGGUAGUUCCAGGUGACCCUAUUGGCCAGGGAUUAGAGAGACCUUUUGAGUAAUUUGUAAAAUAAGGAAAUUGGUUGACAGAAAGAGGAUAGAGCAGAUGUGUAGUGAGAGGCAGAGAAAACAAGCAAAAGAGAGAUGGAGAGAACGGUUAAUCCUUAUAGGCAUGUCAGUUCCUCUCCUUCCUGGUUGUCUAGUGUUUCCUUGGUUCCCAUAUAUUUGCAUUCUUUGAUAGACCUUUAUUUUCUCUGAAAGCAUUUCAAUGAGUUUCUAAUCUUUGCUCCAAGAGAACUCCAAGGAAAACAGUCAGCUAGCUAGUUUCCAUUUGUUAUCUUACAAUACUCACAAUCACUCUAAUAGAUAGGUUUCAUUAUUCCUAUUUUACACACCACAUAAUUGAGGCUAGGAGAAUUAAAGUAAGUUGGCCAGAGUUAAAAAGCUACUCUCACAGCUAGCAAUGGAAAAAAAAUUACCCAAGGAUCAUAUAAAUACCUGGAAUUCUCUUAGAAAACCACUUCAUCCCACUUUUCCCACCUGUUCUUUUCUCCAAGUUGAAUAACAAGCUCCCAAAAUCCCUUUGUAUAGGUACAUGGUUAACUCCAGAGACACCUGGUCUAUGUUUCUCUUCUGUGUCUUCCUCUCUUUUUUAAAGCAGCAUUAGAGUUUGUUUUAAUGACUUUUCAUCUUAAUACAAAUGCCAAGCAUGGGUGCUUUUAGGUCACUUGUUCCUGGUGGUGACCCUCCCACUGUAUGAAAUCAGUGAAAACACAAUUUUAAUAUUGACCUUCUAUAAAACCACCUACUGGCACUAGAGAUGCGUCAGAGUUGGCUGCAGGCAAUGCCACUGCUACAAGGCAGAGUUGUACAUAAUGGAACGACAACAGAUUUAUUAUUAUAACAUAUUAAUAAUAUCCUUACGCUAGACAUAGAACAUGGGCAGGAGAGAGAGUCAUUUAGCAAGAUAAUGCACUUGUUAAACUAAGACAGGGCCAUAAAAAAUGUUUGGAUACCUCUCUUGAAAAAAAAAUUGUUUGGGGCCCAGAGUGUGCUGUUGGCAGGAGAAUUUUUCAGAACCCAGUGAUAACCCUGUGAUUUUUUAAAUGAUCAUUUUUGUAUUUUCUUUCAUUUUGUAAUAAAACCUCUAGAAAGAAAUCUUUAUCAGAUCUAAUAGUUUUUGAUUCCCAAAGUGGGUAGCAAAUAAUUUAAGAUAUAUUUAUUGGAAUGUUAAAGGUAUAGGACUUGGAAAUGGCAGAAUAAGAUAAUGUGUAAAAAUUUCAGUUUGUGGAGAAUAGGGCAUCAUGUUUUUAAGACAAAAUAUUUUAUUCAAUUGCACCUUUGUCUAUUUAAUUAUAAAGCAGAGUCAAAAAAUGUAGGGGAAGAUUAUUUUGCUUAGUAAUUUUAGUUUAAAUUUCUGUGGAUUCUUUUCGGCAUUUAUUAAUAUUUAAUUCAUGAACUCUUUGACCUUUAGAAUGACACACUUUUGUAACCUCUGUUUUACUCGUUUGGUUGUUCAACCCAUGACUUUUUGGAGUAGGUUCAUCAACUUUAUUUUUUAAAAACCUGGUGAGAAAACCCUCCUAGGGUCUUACUACUCAUAGAAAGAAACAACAUGAAGUAGGCUGGACCUACGGCCAGUUUUAAAUUGACCUGCCCUUAUGGAUGAAGUGACCAGAGUUUCUUAGGGACGAGUUGAACUGUUGAGAAGAAAAAGGAAGGAGGUGGCAGUGAGAAAGGACAUAAAGCGGGAAAAAGAAGACCACAGAUAGGGGUAGCAGGGUUGAGAAUUAUUGCUGGAUUUUUACAAUUUGAUUUCAUACUUAAAAGUCUAGUUUUUUGAAAAAUACUUAAAAAUUUUAGUAUAUAACUUUUGAUAAUUGAUCUAGUUAGAUAUAUAAUUGUUUGCUGAUACAAAUGUCCUGUAUUUUGCACGUGAUAGGAACCUAAGCUGGCCAACUCUAGAACUUCAAUGAGUACUCUCUUUCAACAUCUACAACUGCUGGGAGGGCCACUGCAGCUACAAAAAAUACAGCCUCUGCCAAAAGUUCAUUAAAGAGUGGGGGGUCAGGCAGCCAGGUUCCUUCUGCAGUGAUAGAUGUUAGAGAAGCUAGAACGCUGGAUCCUAAAAGGACAGGGCUUGCAAAGGAGUGACACACCUUCAAAUUCUCUUUCCUUCCUAUUCCCCAGUCACUACCUCCUUCCCAUUCUGCCUCCUGGCUUCUUCUCCGUCCUGCAAUGAUUGAUAUAACAUAUUAUCAUGUAUGUCAAGAUACAUCCUAAUUAAAAAUACCCAUGGUUUUUGUUUUUAUAAAAAGCCACAAUUCUGAAACUAGAGAGUGGUGACUGUUUAGGCAGAAAUAAUUGGAUAAAGGUUUAUGGGAAGCCAAAUGUGAGGAUCAACCCAGGAAAACACACCAACAAAGUGGGACGAUUCCGGAGUCUGUUACAAGUUGGAAAGCUUUUAUAGGAAAGCUUAGGAGAAGGGAGGGGGACUCCCGUUACCACAGUUAUCCUUUUUCAUUAGUGGGUAUAACACAGAGGUUACAAUAAUUGGAUACAGACUGCACUGAGGAGUACACUGUGAGCCCUCGUCUUAGUCUGUUUCUGAGUCAAAAUACCUUAAACGGGAUAAUUUAUAAACAAGAGACAUGUAAUUUUCACAGUUUUGGAGGAUGAAAGUCCAAGAUAGAGUUACCAACAGGCUCAGUGUCUGGUGAAGGCCCCAUCUCUCCUUCCAAGAUGGUGCCUUUUUGCUGCCUCCUGGGGAGGGCACAAACACUGUGUCCUCGCAUGGGAAGGAACAGAAGGGCAACUGAACUAAGGAACAGACCCAAGCUGGUUCCCUCCAGCCCUUUUACGAGUCACUGGUCCAUUCAUGACAUGGAGCCAUCGUGGCUUAAUCACUUCCCAAAAGGCCCACCUUUUAAUACUGCCACAGUGGGGAUUUUCAACAUGAAUUUUGAAGGGAACACAUUCUAAUCACAGCAGCCUCUAACCUCCUCUCUCCUUCACUACCACAUCCUAGUUAAGUCCAAUGAUGGACACUGUCACCUGCAUCCAGAAAUUAAGACAUGAUGACCCAGACGAGUACUUUCUUCAUAAAACAAUAGAGUUAAAGGCAUCUUAGAGUUCCUCAUUUUAUAGUUGAGGAAGCAAAAACCUAGCAAACUUGGACGAUGUCUUAUGCCCAAAUUACACAAGGUUCAAUUACAUUAGCGCCCAGGACUUCUGGUAUUUUGUUUGUUCUGCUGUCCUGUUCAUGAAACCAUGAUGCCUUUCAAUUCCCCUCAAUGAGCAGAGGUGCUCUGGGAUUUAGGGAAGCUGCCUGAUUGUUACAGGUACAUAUCCAUUCACCCCAGUAAGAACUGUAAAUUGUGUCUCUAUUCUAAAGUUUGGAAUUACUAAUUACUGUCAAGAGCUGAGUUGGAGAGAGCUGAGCAGACAGAUGUUAAUAUGGUUGAUUAAGCCAACAAGCCAAACUGAAAGUAACAAUGAUGCCUUUAUUCCUUCACUGCAAUUGUAUAAGCGAGAGGCCAAAGGAGAAAAAGCAUCAGCAAAAGCAUGGGUGCCCUCUCUGAGCUGCAGUUCCCCACAGAACAGCUCCAGGCGAGGGGCAGAGGUGUCAGCGCAGACUGGGGGAUUGUCGCACUGCCUAGGGGUAGGACUGGGGAGGGUCAGGGACAAGGAGUGGAAAAGUCCUAAAUGUUAAGUCAGUGAGGGGAAGCACCUUGAUAAGGAGACCUCUGAAAGGAGGUAUUUGGACUAGGAAAGCAGAUAUGUGUAGGAGCGUGGCCACCUGCGAGUCACUGGCCUGUUGACUACGGCUCCUCUAGCUCCUGCACCAAGUACACUGCAGGGAGGGGGGCCUCCCCCACGAGGACUGCCAGAUAAAGCCUUUGCAAUGGCCUGUGCUCAGACCUGAAAGGCCACACGUAGCAUUCUGGCCUGGAGCCAGACGCCUCAAUUACAUGUGGGUAUGGCACCUUUUCACGUCCCCAGACAUGUUUGCAAAUAGUCUAUGACUCCUUUGACAUGACUUUUGCUUAAUGUAUAUUUUAAUUGUCACACCUAACUAGAGUUGGAAUAAAGCUAAUUAUCACCAAAUUCUCUCCAGGAUAAAGACACUGUAGGGGUGGAAAAGUGUGAUACCUUUCCUCACCCAUCCUAAGGGUCAUGGCUGAUACUCCUACAGCAAGAGAAAAGCAUUAACAAAUUUAUUUCAAAGUUUUACAUGAUGUGGGAGACUUCAAAAAUGAAGACCCAAAGAUCCAAGGAAAACUGUUUAUUUUCAUGCUUAGGGUCCAUGAAGAAUGGACAGCUAUGUAGAAAUGUGAUGGAACAGAAAGGGUAUGGUCUAAUAGCAAUAGACAGAGGAGAGACCCAGCAAGUCCUGUCUGUUCAGAUUCUUCUUGACGUCUCUGUGUAGCAUUCCAUUCCUUCCUCCUGGAUACAGAGCAGGAUGCUUCUGGAACAAGAGUCGUAUGACCUACAAUCAGAUAAGAUAGAAACAUCUGUCUUACAUCUGUCAAAAUAUUUCCUUAGGAAAAAGUCUCUGGAGUAGUAUUACUUGGUCAAAGGACAUGAAUAUCUUUGUAGUUUUUACUAAAUGUUAUCUUAUCCCUUUAAAAAAGGGAUAUGCCAAUUCGAAAUGCUCCUUGCUACAUAUUUAUAUUCAAGUUUUACCUUCACCUCAGAGCUGAGAGUAUAACAGCAGUUCAUGACUUAUUGUUGUCUUCAUCUAGUGUUAAGUCAAAUUGAAGAGGAAAAUAUUCAAGUCAAAAUUCCAUAUGUCUAAGAGAAAGAGUCUUAUUGGAUCUGCAGGACAUAUCAGGGAGAAUCACAAAGGCAUGCUUCCAGUGCCUCCUCUGGUGACCCGUGUGUGGGAAAUGAGACAGCAUCAGUCCUCAAAACACGGGCAUUAUCUUGAGCCAGAGAGAAAACACAACGGGCAUCCCUUACAUUUAAGUUAAGUAAAAUACCAUCAGAAGAUAUUUAUUGACUUCUUAACUUGUAUAAAGAAUUGUACCAAAUCCUGUGGAGAGACCAUCUGUCAGCUUCAGUCCUUGCCCCCAGAGAGACUAUAAUCUUCUUGAGAAGAUAUCUGUUGUAAUAACACCACAAGUAGAUGAGAGCUUGAGAGCGGAUUGUAAGGUACAGACAAUAAAUGCCUCAACCCUAACAAGCUUCGUUGAAGAUAAUGGGACAUAAACUCUUCCAGGUGCAGGAAAAGCCUGGCAAUGUUUAAUCCAUUCAAUGAGGCCUUGAAUAAUCAGCUGUGCUACAAAUUUUUCUUAGUCACUCCAUGCCCCGGUCAUAGGCACUGCUGAGGCUGGCCUCUUCGAUGGUGUGGGCCAUCUAUAUGGGCUUAGAGAUUGCCUCUAGAAAUUCUUCCCUCAGGCAACCUUCCUCUUCCCAACCUUCUCUUUCCUUUUUCAUGACAUUCAUUUGAACUCCUUGACUCUGACUCCAUGCCCUCAUUUUAAGAGUGGUUAAUGAAAACUCUAUUAUUAGAAGCAAAGGUUUUCAAACUUCUUUUAUAGCCACAAAACAAGCACACAAUAUAGGACACAGUUAAUAUUUUCCUACUCAUCUGCUGAGUGAUAAACAAGUUACUUCUGUACUGAAAAAAUUAUUUAAGGAAAAACAAUAUGAUGAGUCUCUUUCUCACCUUUUCAACCAGGUUUCUAAGGAAGAUUAGUGAGAUCGUCCCAAAAAAAACUUGGUAGUGGAGAUGGAGCCCAUCCUUCAAAGUGAAGUAUCACAAGAAUGGAAAAAUAAGCACCACAUGUACUCACCAUCAAAUUGUUGCUAACUGACCAACACUUAGCCCAACCUCUCAAAGAAACACAACAGAAGACAUGAACACAUAGAUAUAUCCAAUCUGGGAAAAAAUGGCAUAGAUACAUUUUUUCUUCUCGACUAUAAACUCCGGGAAAGGCAUGAGUGACAAAGGAGAACUCAGAAAGAUGAUCAGAAGACUUACAAGCCCCUGAGAUGACACCUGAGAUUCUUGUCCUGACAGCAAUGCAGGAAUGCAGCAGCUCCAGGGGGCAAGUCUGUGUAGCAUGAAAUGGACCAGAACAACCUUGGUGAUUAUACAUGCAGAAUCAUGUAUAGCUUAAAGCUUGUGCUAAGUGAAGGGCUGCUGGUGGCGCAGAAUGGGGUGGGACAAGGAGCCCACAGGAUGAACUACUUUAGAUUUUGUUACCUGGUAAGUCCCUUAACUACAUUAAUUUUCACAGAGCAGUUCUCGGAAAUGGUUGCAACAUACACUUUUUGUGAAUUGAUUUAUUUAAACAGAGUAUCUCCUCUGCAUACAAAUUUUUUGAUAUGUCAGUACUUGUCUCUUGAUAAAUUAUAAAAUGCCUAUCCCAUCCCUUUUUUUUAUUCACAUCAUCAUGUGAACUUGUUGAUCCCUCCAAAUGAGUCAGUGAAGGCAGGUACAGAGUCAUUUGAGCAAUGAACCACCUCAAGCAUUUUGGGAAGAGAGACAGGUGUAAUAAUUUAUUUUUAAAAUUUGAACUCUAGGGCCGGGUGCAGUGGCUCACACCUUUAA